rnacentral:lncRNA from 1 species
ACCAUAAUAGCUAAUAAGACCUUCACACUAAGUUUGCUGUAAAUUUCUCUUUUCACAGGUGUAUUACCUGGGCGUGACUGAGCGCAUCACUGGCCUUAGCCAGGUGUGGCCCCAAAUCUAUCUGUCUAUCUAGGAAAGACUGAAACUCAUGGGCUCCCUCUGUCAAUGCAGCCUGCCCCAGGACCACUGUCCAGAUGGACUCAGGAGCUGCCACUGCUUUCCAGAAGGACCCAUGUGGGAUCAAAUCCCACUUUGACUGUUGUGGGUCAAACUAUAUGUGCCUUGACCAGACAAACUCCAUUUUACCCUGAGACUCCAUUUCUUUUUGUCUUUUCUGUUGGUGCUGGGGAUCGAACUCGGGCCUUGUGCGUGGUAGGCAUGCACUCUACCAACUGAGCUAAAUCCCCAGCCCCACUGAGAUUUCAUUUCAUGUAAGAAAUGUUUCUUACACAUGAGAAACAUGUGUAACUCACCUCCUGCUAAGCACAACCUCUUUGGCAAUGCACAGUGGCUGAAAAAUGUUUCUUUUAUUUUUAUACAAUGUAUUAUUAAAAAACGGUUUGGGGCUGGGGUUGUAGCAGUGGUAGAGUGCUCACUUAGCAUGUGCGAGGACCUGGGUUCAAGCCUCAGCACUACAUAAAAAUAAAUAAAAUAAAGAUGUUGUUUCCAACUAAAAAAUAAAUAUUAAAAAAAAGAAGGGUGGAGGUUGUGGCUCAGUGGUAGAGCAUUUGCCUAGCAUGUGUGAGGCAUUGGGUUCAAUCCCUGGCACCAUAUAAAAAUAAAAACAAAUAAAGGUAUCGUGUCCAUCUUCAACUAAAAAAAAAAAAAAAGAAAAAAGAAAAAAGAAAUGCUUUUGCAAGGUGUUCUUUUUAAAAAUAUUUUUAUUAGUUAUUGAUGGACCUUUAUUUAUUUGUUUAUAUGUGGUGCUGAGAAUCAAACCCAGGGUCUCACACAUACUAGACAAGCGCUCUACCACUGAGCUACAACUCCAGCCCCUCUCUCUCUUUUAAUUUUUGUAAUUGUAGAUGGACAGAAUACCUUUAUUUUCCUUGUUUACUUUUGUAUGGUGCUGAGGAUGGAACCUCACACAUGUAGGCAAGUGCUCUGCCACUGAGCUACAGCCCCAGCCCAUAAGAUGUUCUUUUUUUAGUUCCCAUUUUUCUUGGGCAAUGUAUCCUGACUAUACCCU